GAUGAACGCUGGCGGCGUGCCUAAUACAUGCAAGUCGAGCGAACGGACGAGAAGCUUGCUUUUCUGAUGUUAGCGGCGGACGGGUGAGUAACACGUGGAUAACCUACCUAUAAGACUGGGAUAACUUCGGGAAACCGGAGCUAAUACCGGAUAAUAUUUUGAACCGCAUGGUUCAAAAGUGAAAGACGGUCUUGCUGUCACUUAUAGAUGUAUCCGCGCUGCAUUAGCUAGUUGGUAAGGUAACGGCUUACCAAGGCAACGAUGCAUAGCCGACCUGAGAGGGUGAUCGGCCACACUAGAACUGAGACACGGUCCAGACUCCUACGGGAGGCAGCAGUAGGGAAUCUUCCGCAAUGGGCGAAAGCCUGACGGAGCAACGCCGUGUGAGUGAUGAAGGUCUUCGGAUCGUAAAACUCUGUUAUUAGGGAAGAACAUAUGUGUAAGUAACUGUGCACAUCUUGACGGUACCUAAUCAGAAAGCCACGGCUAACUACGUG
rnacentral:rRNA from 1 species